AAUAGAUACCCUGGUAGUCCAUGCCGUAAACGUUGGGCACUAGGUGUGGGGCUCAUUCCACGAGUUCCGUGCCGCAGCAAACGCAUUAAGUGCCCCGCCUGGGGAGUACGGCCGCAAGGCUAAAACUCAAAGGAAUUGACGGGGGCCCGCACAAGCGGCGGAGCAUGCGGAUUAAUUCGAUGCAACGCGAAGAACCUUACCAAGGCUUGACAUGCACGGGAAGCCACCAGAGAUGGUGGUCUCUUUGGACACUCGUGCACAGGUGGUGCAUGGUUGUCGUCAGCUCGUGUCGUGAGAUGUUGGGUUAAGUCCCGCAACGAGCGCAACCCUCGUCCCAUGUUGCCAGCGGGUUAUGCCGGGGACUCAUGGGAGACUGCCGGGGUCAACUCGGAGGAAGGUGGGGAUGACGUCAAAUCAUCAUGCCCCUUAUGUCUUGGGCUUCACGCAUGCUACAAUGGCCGGUACAAAGGGCUGCGAUGCCGUAAGGUGAGCGAAUCCCAAAAGCCGGUCUCAGUUCGGAGUU
rnacentral:rRNA from 1 species